rnacentral:rRNA from 1 species
UCAGCAGCCGCGGUAAUACAUAGGGGCGAGCGUUAUCCGGAAUUAUUGGGCGUAAAGGGUGCGUAGGCGGUUUAAUAAGUCUCUAGUUUAAUUUCAACGCUUAACGUUGUCCUGCUAGAGAAACUGUUUAACUAGAGUGAGAUAGAGGUAAGCGGAAUUCCAUGUGUAGCGGUAAAAUGUGUAAAUAUAUGGAGGAACACCAGAGGCGUAGGCGGCUUACUGGGUCUUUACUGACGCUGAUGCACGAAAGCGUGGGGAGCAAACAGGAUUAGAUACCCUGGUAGUCCACGCCGUAAACUAUGAGUACUAAGUGUCGGGGUUAAACUCGGUACUGAAGUUAACACAUUAAGUACUCCGCCUGAGUAGUACGUACGCAAGUAUGAAACUUAAAGGAAUUGACGGGAUCCCGCACAAGCGGUGGAUCAUGUUGUUUAAUUCGAAGAUACACGAAAAACCUUACCAGGUCUUGACAUACUCUGCAAAGCUAUAGAAAUAUAGUGGAGGUUAUCAGGGAUACAGGUGGUGCAUGGUUGUCGUCAGCUCGUGUCGUGAGAUGUUAGGUUAAGUUCUAAAACGAGCGCAACCCCUGUCGUUAAUUGCCAGCACGUUAUGGUGGGGACUUUAGCGAGACUGCCAAUGAAAAAUUGGAGGAAGGUGGGGAUUACGUCAAAUCAUCAUGCCCCUUAUGAUCUGGGCUACAAACGUGAUACAAUGGCUAUUACAAAGAGUAGCUGAAACGCGAGUUUUCGGCAAAUCUCAAAAAAAUAGUCUCAGUUCGGAUUGAAGUCUGCAACUCGACUUCAUGAAGUUGGAAUCGCUAGUAAUCGCGAAUCAGCAUGUCGCGGUGAAUACGUUCUCGGGGUUUGUACACACCGCCCGUCAAACCACGAAAGUGGACAAUACCCGAAAGCGACAGCCUAACUGCGUAAGC